rnacentral:rRNA from 1 species
UACGGAGGGUGCGAGCGUUACCCGGAUUUACUGGGCGUAAAGGGCGUGUAGGCGGUUUUCUAAGUCCGGGGCUAAAGUCCAGGGCUCCACCCUGGGCUUGCCUUGGAUACUGGAAAGCUCGACGGCUGGAGGGGGCAGCGGAAUUUCCGGAGUAGCGGUGAAAUGCGCAGUGACCGGAAGGAACGCCAAUUGCGAAGGCAGCUGCCUGGACAGUACGUGACGCUGAGGCGCGAAAGCGUGGGGAGCAAACCGG